rnacentral:lncRNA from 1 species
UUAUUGUCUUGAAUGGAGUUGAACUUUGAAAUGGGGUCUCUUGGGUGUGUGUUUUCUGUGUGAGGAAGAAGAAAGAGCUGGAGGAGUGUCUUGGAGAAUGAGAAAACCGAAAUGGACAAGGAAAGGAAGAGAGAGGAGUGCAUUUAAGUUUUUACCACUUAUGGGUAAACAAAAAAGAUGUUUAUUUUCAUUCUAGGAAGAUUUCCAUUUUGAGCUUUGGCUUUGUUUGAAUUCCAGCCAUGAAUUGUCUUUGACAUGGGAGGUCUUUGGUUGUUUAUUUUCAUUUGGUUUUGCUUACAUGGCAUAUUGGGAGAAGCAUUCAAUAUAUUGUCCAUUUAGCUAGUGGUUUUUAGAGCACUUUUUGCACAAUGGUUGUUGGUAGGCUUGGCAAUUUUGGUGUUGGAGUGUGGAUUCCGAAAUUUUGCUNAUGNAAAGAGAGAAGNGAAGUUUUCAUUGGGAUUGUUGAAGCACAUGUUUAAUUUCCUUGAAGAAUUGUGCACAUGGGACAAGAAGUCAACUCAUUUGGUGGAUAUUUGAAAGUUAAAUUUUGAAUUGGUAUUUGGAAGAGCAUGAUGCAUGGCCAUGAGGUUCUUUUUGGCCAAUUGGACUUUUAAAAUUAAUUUUUAAUUGUCAUUUAGUCAAAUUAAUUGUUAGGAUUAAAUUAGGCUUGUUGGUUCCCUUGGUUUUAAAUUAAUUUAGUUAAUAGGUUGAGUUUAUGUGUUUGAGUUAGUGUUGCAUUUAAUUAUUUUUAACUGUGUUUGAUAAUUUGUUUGCAAGAGUAUUUGAUGUUGAAUAUUGUCUAAGGUUUUUAAUAGUGUUAGUUUAAUUACCAUGCUAGCUUAAAUUAGUUUGUUUGCAUCUGUGUCUUUAUAUUGAGUUCUUUAACUUUUGCAAAAACCUUUUCAACCCCCCCCUUUUCCGUGUUAGACUCGAUUCUUGAACCGCAAAAUUGGUCCUUGAGAGACGACCUAGGAGUCACUUCCUAGUCUAUAUUGCAUUUCUCAUAUGCAAUCAAAUUUGUAUGGGCCUCGACACCCAUCAAGUACCCCU